GGGAUAGAAUUCCAGGAGUAGCGGUGAAAUGCGUAGAUAUCUGGAGGAAUACCAAAGGCGAAGGCAGUCCCCUGGUCCGAUACUGACACUGAGGUACGAAAGCGUGGGGAGCAAACAGGAUUAGAUACCCUGGUAGUCCACGCCCUAAACGAUGUCGAUUAGCCAUUGGAAGGACCCCUUUUCCUUUCAGUGACGUAGCUAACGCGUUAAAUCGACCGCCUGGGAAGUACGACCGCAAGGUUAAAACUCAAAGGAAUUGACGGGGACCUGAACAAGCGGUGAAUGAUGUGGAUUAAUUCGAUGCUACGCGAAGAACCUUACCUACCUUUGACAUGGCCAAAGUUCUACCGAGAGGCGGAAGUACUCGUAAGAGGAUUGGCGCACAGGUGCUGCAUGGUUGUCGUCAGUUCGUGUCGUGAGAUGUUGGGUUCAGUCCCGCAACGAACGCAACCCUUAUCUUUAAUUGCUCCUAUUUUAACAGGCACUUUAAAGAAACUGCCAAUGAUAAGUUGGAGGAAGGUGGGGAUCACGUCAAGUCCGCAUGGCCUUUAUAGGUAGGGCUUCACACGUCAUACAAUGGUUAGAACAAAGAGCUGCAAAUUCGCAAGAAGGAGCCAAUCUCACAAACCUAACCUCAGUUCGAAUUGCGGUCUGCAACUCGAGCGCAUGAAGCCGGAAUCGCUAGUAAUCGUGGAUCAGAAUGCCACGGUGAAUACGUUCUUAGGUCUU
rnacentral:rRNA from 1 species